AGUCGAAACGCAGAGGUUGGGUUCGAACCAAGGACCUUCCACUCAGUAAGUUCACGCCUUAACCACUGAGCUAUUUCGAC
rnacentral:tRNA from 11 species